UUGGAGGGCAAGUCUGGUGCCAGCAGCCGCGGUAAUUCCAGCUCCAAUAGCGUAUAUUAAAGUUGUUGCAGUUAAAAAGCUCGUAGUUGAAUUUCGGGGUUAGUAGGUUGGUCAUGCCUCCGGUAUGUACUGGUCUCACUGAUUCCUCCUUCCUGAUGAACCGUAAUGCCAUUAAUUUAGUGUUGCGGGGAAUUUGGACUGUUACUUUGAAAAAAUUAGAGUGUUUAAAGCAAGCUAACGCUUGAAUACAUUAGCAUGGAAUAAUGAAAUAGGACGUUCGAUCCUAUUUUGUUGGUUUCUAGGAUUGACGUAAUGAUUAAUAGGGAUAGUUGGGGGCAUUAGUAUUCAAUUGUCAGAGGUGAAAUUCUUGGAUUUAUUGAAGACUAACUACUGCGAAAGCAUUCGCCAAGGAUGUUUUCAUUAAUCAAGAACGAAAGUUAGGGGAUCGAAGACGAUCAGAUACCGCCGUAGUCUUAACCAUAAACUAUGCCGACUAGGGAUCGGAUGAUGUUAAUUUUUUAAUGACUCAUUCGGCACCUUGCAGGAAACCAAAGUGUUUGGGUUC
rnacentral:rRNA from 1 species